rnacentral:rRNA from 1 species
UACGUAGGGGGCAAGCGUUGUCCGGAAUUAUUGGGCGUAAAGAGCGCGUAGGCGGUCCGAUAAGUCGGCUGUGAAAGUCAGGGGCUCAACCCUUGAAAGCCGGCCGAUACUGUCGGACUAGAGUCCGGAAGAGGCGAGUGGAAUUCCUGGUGUAGCGGUGAAAUGCGCAGAUAUCAGGAGGAACACCGGUGGCGAAGGCGGUUCUCUGGGCCUUACCUGACGCUGAGGAGCGAAAGCAUGGGGAGCAAACAGG